AAGAACCUUACCAAGUCUUGACAUCUGGAUGACAGGAACUUAACCGUUCCCUCCCUUCGGGGCAUCCAAGACAGGUGGUGCAUGGUUGUCGUCAGCUCGUGUCGUGAGAUGUUGGGUUAAGUCCCGCAACGAGCGCAACCCCUGUCCUUAGUAGCCAGCAGUAAGAUGGGCACUCUAGGGAGACUGCCGGGGACAACCCGGAGGAAGGCGGGGACGACGUCAAAUCAUCAUGCCCCUUAUGAUUUGGGCUACACACGUGCUACAAUGGCGUAAACAAAGGGAAGCGAGAGUGUGAGCUGGAGCAAAUCCCAAAAAUAACGUCCCAGUUCGGACUGCAGUCUGCAACUCGACUGCACGAAGCUGGAAUCGCUAGUAAUCGCGGAUCAGAAUGCCGCGGUGAAUACGUUCCCGGGUCUUGUACACACCG
rnacentral:rRNA from 1 species